rnacentral:rRNA from 1 species
ACUGCUCAGUAACACGUGGAUAACCUGCCCUAAGGAAGGGGAUAACCUCGGGAAACUGAGGAUAAUACCCUAUAGGUUACAGACGCUGGAAUGCCCUGUAACCGAAAGUUCCGGCGCCUUAGGAUGGAUCUGCGGCCGAUUAGGUUGUUGUUGGGGUAACGGCCCAACAAGCCGAUAAUCGGUACGGGUUGUGGGAGCAAGAGCCCGGAGUUGGAUUCUGAGACAUGAAUCCAGGCCCUACGGGGCGCAGCAGGCGCGAAAACUUUACAAUGCGGGAAACCGUGAUAAGGGAACCCCGAGUGCCUGUAUAUGCAGGCUGUCCAGGUGUCUAAAAAACACCUGAAGAAAGGGCCGGGCAAGACCGGUGCCAGCCGCCGCGGUAAUACCGGCGGCUCGAGUGGUGGCCACUUUUAUUGGGCUUAAAGCGUUCGUAGCUGGGUUGUUAAGUCUCUUGGGAAAUCUGACGGCUCAACCGUCAGGCGUCCAAGGGAUACUGGCAAUCUUGGAACCGGGAGAGGUGAGGGGUACUUCGGGGGUAGGAGUGAAAUCCUGUAAUCCUCGAGGGACCACCUGUGGCGAAGGCGCCUCACCAGAACGGCUUCGACAGUGAGGGACGAAAGCUGGGGGAGCAAACCGGAUUAGAUACCCGGGUAGUCCCAGCCGUAAACGAUGCGCGUUAGGUGUAUCGGUGACCACGAGUCACCGAGGUGCCGAAGGGAAACCGUGAAACGUGCCGCCUGGGAAGUACGGUCGCAAGGCGGAAACUUAAAGGAAUUGGCGGGGGAGCAC